CUUAACUGAACCUUCGGGGAACGUUAAGGGCGGCGAGCGGCGGANGGGUGANUAAUGCCUGGGAAUAUGCCCUGAUGUGGGGGAUAACUAUUGGAAACGAUAGCUAAUACCGCAUAAUCUCUUCGGAGCAAAGAGGGGGACCUUCGGGCCUCUCGCGUCAGGAUUAGCCCAGGUGGGAUUAGCUUGUUGGUGAGGUAAUGGCUCACCAAGGCAACGAUCCCUAGCUGGUCUGAGAGGAUGAUCAGCCACACUGGAACUGAGACACGGUCCAGACUCCUACGGGAGGCAGCAGUGGGGAAUAUUGCACAAUGGGGGAAACCCUGAUGCAGCCAUGCCGCGUGUGUGAAGAAGGCCUUCGGGUUGUAAAGCACUUUCAGUAGGGAGGAAGGUAGUGUAGUUAACACCUGCAUUAUUUGACGUUACCUACAGAAGAAGCACCGGCUAACUCCGUGCCAGCAGCCGCGGUAAUACGGAGGGUGCGAGCGUUAAUCNNAAUUACUGGGCGUAAAGCGCAUGCANGCGGCCUGUUAAGUCANAUGUGAAAGCCCGGGGCUUAACCUCGGAAUUGCAUUUGAAACUGGCAGGCUANAGUCUUGUANAGGGGGGUANAAUUUCNNGUGUANCGGUGAAAUGCNUANANNUCUGANNNAAUACCNNUGGCNAANGCGGCCCCCUGNACNANNACUGACGCUCANANGCGAAAGCGUGGGGGAGCAAAC
rnacentral:rRNA from 1 species